CUCAAUUCUAUGUAUUAAAAAGACAAUUUCAUACUCGGCAGAAAUUUCAUCAUCAAAAUCAAACUGAACAAACUUCCAAAUAUAUUGAAAAAACUAAUGUGAUAGAGGAAAAGAAUAGACCUUCAAGCGAGCAAAAUUUCUCUUAAUAAUAGAUUGAUGAACCGAUUCAACACAAUGACCAAACUACGAAAAAGUAAGCGAAUCAAACCUCGAACGGAUCUCUUGGCGGCCGAAAUUACGAACUUACCUCAAACAACCGCCUCACUUUAAACAAACUUCGUGGUUUUAAAAUAAGAAAUAAGUAGAAGAAGAUAGAAUUGUAAAUGUAAAUCAAAAGGAUUUGAAUCGAAAAUCAAAACAGGAACCGUUUGUUCACUUCAGCUAUUUUCGACCCUCUAUCUCUGUACUUUUCUAUCUCCAACGUCCGUUGUUGCUAGCUGGAUGGUGGUCUGUGGGCUUUUGGUGGCUAAGGUGGUCGUUUUAGGGUGGUGUCGCGGCUGCUGACCAGGCAGAUGGAGUGAAGGGGUGUUAGGUUGCUAGGGUUUCAUGAAGGUGUAGGAGAUGGAGAUCAGGGAUCGUUGGUUGAAGAGUGACCGGCGGCGAGUGGGAGGUGGACUAGUGGCGCCUGGAUUUUGGUUUUGGGGUCUUUGGUUAGGGUGUUGCUAGUCUUCCCCUAGGAUUAUUGGUUAAUCCCUGCUUUGUAUCUAGAGUCCCCCAUUUCUUUUAAGAAAGGUCUUGUUUAGAGUUCAAAAAAAAAGAAAAAAAA
rnacentral:lncRNA from 1 species